rnacentral:hammerhead_ribozyme from 1 species
GCUCACCUGACGAAUCUUAAAUAGGACGAAACGCGUGUCCUGGGU